rnacentral:lncRNA from 1 species
GUUAGAGUACGUAAUGGGCCUGGGCUGACGGUAUAGCCCGUUAGUCUUAGGGUUAAUUAGAGAUAAGGGUCGCUUGCUUAGGGGUCAAGUAAGCCUUGCUUGGGAGUCAAGUAAACCUCUCAGAUGUAUCAAUCUAAUCAAGCAAGAAUUAAAAAGGAAAUCCCUUCCCUCUUGCCUGGCCGUGGGCAAAAGGCCCCCGGCCGGCCCUCUUGUGCCCUCCUUCUAGCAGCGUCAUAACAAUUUGGUAUCAGCUAGCUUCGGUUCGAUCAUGUCUUCACCGCCGCCAAGCCCGUCUCUUCCGCUGCCGGUCACCUCGUCGCCUCCGGCGACCACCACGACCGUCGCCCCGCUCCUGCCCGCGCCGGGAUCCUCCGUCGUGCCCGCCCCCGCCGUCCUCACCCCGGAGGAGGUGUUCGGGGUGCUGCGGGGCCUAACCCAGGCGGUCCAGGAGAUCCACAUGUUCUUGGCCGGGUCCUACGGGCUGCCCCCGGCUGCGCCGCCCAUCGCCGCCCCCGCGCUGCCGUGGCAGCCGCCGCACCAGGCGGCCUUCGCCGGGCCACUGCAGCUGCCAUCCAUCGCCACCACCGCCCAGCCCUGGCUGCAGUGGCAGCCGCCGCUCCUAGCGGCCUCCGCCGCGCCCGGCGCUCUGCCGCAGCAGCCGGUGCAGCUGCCCGGCGCGACACCGCAGCAGCCACUGCCGGUCAGCUCCGCCGCCCAGUAUGGGAUGCCCUACGACGGGACUGCGACGACCUUGUUCCCAUCAGCGCCGCCGCCAUCCCAGGGCGUCCACAUCCAUCAGAUCAAGUCCCCGCCGGCGCAGUCACCGCUUCCGUCUUGGAUCGCUACCCGCCACGUGUCGGCGGCGGUGAGGCUGCAGGCUGCUGCGCGCGGCCUCCUAGCGCGUCGGCGUGUGCGGGAGAUGCGUGGUCUGCAGUUGCCGCUCCUCCAAGUUGCCCUUCGCUGCGACCUCGAUCUCGUCCGCUGCGUCGGGGAUCAUGGGCAUGCGGUUUCCCCCACGGGCGGCGGGCAUGCUGUUUUCCCCGUGGGCAGCGACCUCAAAGUCUGCGAUAUCGGCGGUUGGGGGGGCGCACCCCUCCUCGACAUUCUCCAUCGCAAGCCCUCCACUCUUCCCUAUGUAGUGCAGACCAACAGCCAUACACAUGCACUCCUUUUGUCCACGUGGUGUCCAUGGGAUCCAGGUGGCUGUACAUGUGCACGUCCAAAAUAAAGCGUCCCAGUCUAUUUCAGUUUGAGAGUAAUAACACAAGCCGAGAUGUAAAAGGCUUGUUUUUAGGUGUUAGGUUUGUGUUGCGUCGAGUCAUGGUUAUAAGUUGGUUAGGCUGCAGCUCGAGGACAAGCUGCAUGUCUAGGUGGGGUGUAGUGUUAGAGUACGUAAUGGGCCUGGGCUGACGGUAUAGCCCGUUAGUCUUAGGGUUAAUUAGAGAUAAGGGUCGCUUGCUUAGGGGUCAAGUAAGCCUUGCUUGGGAGUCAAGUAAUAAACCUCUCUAUAUAAGGAGAGGAGAUGUAUCAAUCUAAUCAAGCAAGAAUUAAGAAGGAAAUCCCUUCCCUCUUGCCUGGCCGUGGGCAAAAGGCCCCCGGCCGGCCCUCUCGCGCCCUCCUUCUAGCAGCGUCAUAACACUCCCCCACUCCAACCCAAUCUCCCUCAGUCAUCUAGAACCCAUGAGACCCCUCCAAUUCGAAAAGAAAAAAAAAUAGCUUGCAAUGGUGCUCUCGUCGCUGCCGCAGUUAUGCAAGUGCAGUGUUGGCUGCUUGAUUGAGUUUUGAGUUUCUUCUCUGCAGUGUUGCACGUGCAUUGGUUGUUAUAUACUACUAAUCCAAUACAACUGACUCAUUUUUGUGGUUCCGUAGCAAUGCACCGACGUUAUGCUAUGCCAAUAAACGAUGGAGACUAGGGCCAUGACAUGAAAACAUGGGAUUACCCAUGAUGGGCCUAGAUCUCCCUGCAUAAGGCUAUCCCCUAAACCAAACAGCCUUGUAGCGCAUUGUGGUCUGGCUCCCUGUUACCGUACCAACAUAAGCCUGAGAUCUAAGGU